GGGCCCGCACAAGCGGUGGAGUAUGUGGUUUAAUUCGAUGCAACGCGAAGAACCUUACCAGGGUUUGACAUCCUGCGAAUCUCUUGGAAACGAGAGAGUGCCUUCGGGAACGCAGUGACAGGUGGUGCAUGGCUGUCGUCAGCUCGUGUCGUGAGAUGUUGGGUUAAGUCCCGCAACGAGCGCAACCCACGUCUUUAGUUGCCAGCAUUCAGUUGGGCACUCUAGAGAGACCGCCGGUGAUAAACCGGAGGAAGGUGUGGAUGACGUCAAGUCAUCAUGCCCCUUACAUCCUGGGCUACACACGUACUACAAUGGACGGUACAAAGGGUCGCGAAGCCGCGAGGUGGAGCCAAUCCCAAAAAGCCGUUCUCAGUUCGGAUUGGAGUCUGCAACUCGACUCCAUGAAGUCGGAAUCGCUAGUAAUCGGAUAUC
rnacentral:rRNA from 1 species